rnacentral:rRNA from 1 species
AUUGAACGCUGGCGGCAUGCCUUACACAUGCAAGUCGAACGGCAGCACGGGAGCAAUCCUGGUGGCGAGUGGCGAACGGGUGAGUAAUAUAUCGGAACGUGCCCAGUCGUGGGGGAUAACGCAGCGAAAGCUGUGCUAAUACCGAAUACGAUCUACGGAUGAAAGCGGGGGAUCGCAAGACCUCGCGCGAUUGGAGCGGCCGAUAUCAGAUUAGCUAGUUGGUGGGGGAAAGGCCCACCAAGGCGACGAUCUGUAGCUGGUCUGAGAGGACGACCAGCCACACUGGAACUGAGACACGGCCCAGACUCCUACGGGAGGCAGCAGUGGGGAAUUUUGGACAAUGGGCGCAAGCCUGAUCCAGCAAUGCCGCGUGCAGGAUGAAGGCCUUCGGGUUGUAAACUGCUUUUGUACGGAACGAAACAGCCCUUUCUAAUACAGGGGGCUAAUGACGGUACCGUAAGAAUAAGCACCGGCUAACUACGUGCCAGCAGCCGCCGUAA